AUUGAACGCUGGCGGCAGGCUUAACACAUGCAAGUCGAACGGUAGCAGGAGAAAGCUUGCUUUCUUGCUGACGAGUGGCGGACGGGUGAGUAAUGCUUGGGAAUCUGGCUUAUGGAGGGGGAUAACUACGGGAAACUGUAGCUAAUACCGCGUAGUAUCGGAAGAUGAAAGUGCGGGACCGUAAGGCCGCAUGCCAUGAGAUGAGCCCAAGUGGGAUUAGGUAGUUGGUGGGGUAAAGGCCUACCAAGCCUGCGAUCUCUAGCUGGUCUGAGAGGAUGGCCAGCCACACUGGAACUGAGACACGGUCCAGACUCCUACGGGAGGCAGCAGUGGGGAAUAUUGCGCAAUGGGGGGAACCCUGACGCAGCCAUGCCGCGUGAAUGAAGAAGGCCUUCGGGUUGUAAAGUUCUUUCGGUAUUGAGGAAGGAGUGUAUGUUAAUAGCAUACAUUAUGACGUAA
rnacentral:rRNA from 1 species